rnacentral:rRNA from 1 species
CGGCCUUCGGGUUGUAAACUCCUUUUGUCCCGGACGAGGAAGGACGGUACGGGGGCGAAUAAGUCACGGCUAACUACGUGCCAGCAGCCGCGGUAAAACGUAGGUGGCGAGCGUUAUCCGGAUUUACUGGGCGUAAAGCGUGUGCAGGCGGGUGGCCAAGUGGUGUAUGAGAGCUCCAGGCUCAACCUGGAGAGGUUAUGCCAGACUGGUCAGCUAGAGGCAGAGAGAGGGACAUGGAAUUCCGGGUGUAGUGGUGAAAUGCGUAGAGAUCCGGAGGAACUCCAGAGGCGAAGGCGGUGUCCUGGCUCUGACCUGACGCUCAGACACGAAAGCAUGGGGAGCGAACGGGAUUAGAAACCCCGGUAGUCCAUGCCGUAAACGAUGCAGACUAGGCGUCGGCGGUCUCAACCCCGUCGGUGCCGAGCUAACGCGAUAAGUCUGCCGCCUGGGGACUACGACCGCAAGUUAAAACUCAAAGGAAUUGACGGGGCCCGCACAAGCAGCGAGAUGUGGUUUAAUUCGGGCUACAG